rnacentral:pre_miRNA from 1 species
UUAACACAAAUUUGUAUGAAGUUGGAACGUUUGCCGCUAGGCCAACUGCAUACAAAUUUGAGUUA